GGGCCCGCACAAGCGGUGGAGUAUGUGGUUUAAUUCGAUGCAACGCGAAGAACCUUACCAGGGUUUGACAUCCUGCGAAUCUUUUGGAAACGAGAGAGUGCCUUCGGGAACGCAGUGACAGGUGGUGCAUGGCUGUCGUCAGCUCGUGUCGUGAGAUGUUGGGUUAAGUCCCGCAACGAGCGCAACCCACGUCUUUAGUUGCCAGCAUUUAGUUGGGCACUCUAGAGAGACUGCCGGUGAUAAACCGGAGGAAGGUGUGGAUGACGUCAAGUCAUCAUGCCCCUUACAUCCUGGGCUACACACGUGCUACAAUGGUAGGUACAGAGGGAAGCCACCCCGCGAGGGGGAGCG
rnacentral:rRNA from 1 species